CUUUGCUGCUUUUACAGAUCAAGACUAACACAACUAUCCCUCUGAUAAGGAAUAUGGGAAUGAUAAUCUUCAAAGCUCACACCCAGGUUAUACUCUGAGAAGGAGCAUAUGCUAAGCAAUAAAACCUUAUUUUCAUCAUAAACGGAGAAUUUAAGACCCACGCAGUAUCUGCUUUCUCAAGGUCCAUGAAGAUGGGGAUACCAACAAAUGGAAACUUAAAGGAGGAUUGUGGUUCAUGCUCUGUAAGAUGAUUUGGUUCUGGGUAAAGAUGGCUCCAUUUUAGUAAUAUUGACAUCAGCAUCAACACGUGACAUUUCAUAACUUGUCCUGCACAUCAAGCUACGUUCUAUAGAAUUUUCAGUGA